rnacentral:rRNA from 1 species
UACGUAGGGUGCGAGCGUGUCCGGAAUUAUUGGGCGUAAAGGGCUCGUAGGCGGUCUGUCGCGCGAAAGUGAAAACCCAGGGCUUAACCCUGGGCCUGCUUCCGAUACGGGCAGACUAGAGGUAUGCAGGGGGAGAACGGAAUUCCUGGUGUAGCGGUGAAAUGCGCAGAUAUCAGGAGGAACACCGGUGGCGAAGGCGGGUCUCUGGGCAACUACUGACGCUGAGGAGCGAAAGCGUGGGGGAGCGAACAGG